rnacentral:rRNA from 1 species
AAGCAUUGUUUCUUAAUCUGAGUAUAUCAAUAUUACCUUGUUCAGAACUUAAAGAGAAAUCUUGAGUUUAUGGACUUCAGGGGGAGUAUGGUCACAAGGCUGAAACUUAAAGGAAUUGACGGAAGGGCACACCAGGAGUGGAGCCUGCGGCUUAAUUUGACUCAACACGGGAAAACUUACCAAGACCGAACAGUAGAAGGAAUGACAGAUUAAGAGUUCUUUCAUGAUUUAUUGGGUAGUGGUGCAUGGCCGUUCUUAGUUGGUGGAGUGAUUUGUCAGGUUAAUUCCGGUAACGAACGAGACUGAAACCUAUUAAUUAGUUUUCUGCCUAUAAGACAGAAGUGUUCGCAAGAACAGGUGCGUAAGUACCACUUCUUAAAGGGACACAUUUCAAUUGUCCUAUUUUAAUUGUAGUUAU